ACAUCAGCUGGGAGGAUGUUCUGCUUUAUAGUUACAGCUGUUAUUGUUUCUAGGGAGACCACUUUACUUAUCCACCCUCCCUGUGCCUGCCACAUCCUCAAUUUGCGGACACUCAGGUGAAGAGGAGUCCUGCAGUCACCAGUGAGAUCUCAGGACUCAUCCAGCAGUGCUUUAGACACAAACACAUAAGUGAUAUUGUCACUACCUUAUGGACGCCUGCUCACGCUAAAACCUGGAGGAAGCAGAUGGAGG
rnacentral:lncRNA from 1 species